GAGACAGAAAUCCACUUCAUCCUUCCAACAGGGAAGCAAGUCCAGUGGAUUUGUACCCUUCCAGUGUCCUACUUCAAAGCUGCUUAGAAAAAUACGCCAUUUGCAAAAUCUGAGGCGCCAUCAUGAUCGUUGU